UACGGAGGGUGCAAGCGUUAUCCGGAUUCACUGGGUUUAAAGGGUGCGUAGGUGGGUCUGUAAGUCCGUGGUGAAAUCUCCAAGCUUAACUUGGAAACUGCCGUGGAUACUAUAGAUCUUGAAUAUUGUGGAGGUAAGCGGAAUAUGUCAUGUAGCGGUGAAAUGCUUAGAUAUGACAUAGAACACCGAUAGCGAAGGCAGCUUGCUACACAAUCAUUGACACUGAGGCACGAAGGCGUGGGGAUCAAACAGG
rnacentral:rRNA from 1 species